rnacentral:rRNA from 1 species
GACGAACGCUGGCGGCGUGCUUAACACAUGCAAGUCGAGCGGAAGGGCCCUUCGGGGUACUCGAGCGGCGAACGGGUGAGUAACACGUGAGCAACCUGCCCUAGGCUUUGGGAUAACCCUCGGAAACGGGGGCUAAUACCGGAUAGGACCUCCUGCCGCAUGGUGGGGGGUGGAAAGUUUUUCGGCUUGGGAUGGGCUCGCGGCCUAUCAGCUUGUUGGUGGGGUGAUGGCCUACCAAGGCGGUGACGGGUAGCCGGCCUGAGAGGGCGACCGGCCAAACUGGGACUGAGACACGGACCAGACUCCUACGGGAGGCAGCAGUGGGGAAUAUUGCACAAUGGGCGGAAGCCUGAUGCAGCGACGCCGCGUGAGGGAUGACGGCCUUCGGGUUGUAAACCUCUUUCAGCAGGGACGAAGCGUGAGUGACGGUACCUGCAGAAGAAGCGCCGGCCAACUACGUGCCAGCAGCCGCCGUAAUAC